rnacentral:rRNA from 1 species
CAGUAGCCACGGUAAUACGUAGGGUGCGAGCGUUAAUCGGAAUUACUGGGCGUAAAGCGUGCGCAGGCGGUUCGUUAAGACAGAUGUGAAAUCCCCGGGCUUAACCUGGGAACUGCAUUUGUGACUGGCGAGCUAGAGUAUGGCAGAGGGGGGUAGAAUUCCACGUGUAGCAGUGAAAUGCGUAGAGAUGUGGAGGAAUACCGAUGGCGAAGGCAGCCCCCUGGGCCAAUACUGACGCUCAUGCACGAAAGCGUGGGGAGCAAACAGGAUUAGAUACCCGCGUAGUCCCUGUCUCUUAUAC